AUUGAACGCUAGCGGGAUGCUUUACACAUGCAAGUCGAACGAGUGGCGGAUGGGUGAGUAAUAUAUCGGCACGUGCCCAGUAGCGGGGGAUAACUACUCGAAAGAGUGGCUAAUACCGCAUACCAUCGGAGCGGCCGAUAUGGGAUUAGCUAGUUGGUGGGGUAAAGGCUCACCAAGGCCACGAUCCGUAGCUGGUGUGAGAGGACGACCAGCCACACUGGGACUGAGACACGGCCCAGACUCCUACGGGAGGCAGCAGUGGGGAAUUUUGGACAAUGGAGGAAACCCUGAUCCAGCCAUCCCGCGUGUAUGAGAAGGCCUUCGGAUUGUAAAGUACUUUUGGCAGGGAAGCGGUAUCUGAAGAGUAAGCACCGGCUAACUACGUGCCAGCAGCCGCGGUAAUUC
rnacentral:rRNA from 1 species